GCGCCCCACCAACGCCAGGCCUCCUCUCUCGCCUCGCCACCAUCGCCCCUGCCACCGGCCGCGCCCCACCAACGCCAGGCCUCCUCUCUCGCCUCGCCACCAUCGCCCCUGCCACCGGCCGCGCCCCACCAACGCCAGGCCUCCUCUCUCGCCUCGACACCGUCCUGGAGUGGAUGCCCCGCCACACGUUGCGCCCCACGAUCAGCAACCCAGUGGCAUCACGGCUCGAGGUCCUCCUCCACCUCAUUCCCCAUCCCCUAAAUUGGAUCCAUGCAUGUGCUUGCUGGUGAUUCCACAUAGUCUCCCACGGAAUCGACCAUCGGGAGGGACAGAUUUUGCCGUCUCGUCCCGGGCGUUGGUUAGGGCAUGAGUUCGGGCGCGGUUCCUUUAGUUCCCCUGCAGGAGGAGGCAGGCCAGCAGCAAGGUGUGAGAUAUGUGGGAGUGCAGAGAAGAAACUGUAUGUGUUCACCUGCAUCCAGUGCAAUGGCUGUCAACAUCGAGCCAACAUGAUGAUAUUGAGGGGAAGUUUUUUUAGGAAAGGGCCGCCCUUGAAGCCAAGUACCAGAAGCUGUAUGAACCAUUGUACGCUAAGAGGUACAACAUUGUAAAUGGAGUUGUGGAGGUUGAUGGUGUUGCUCAAGAACCUACCAGUGAAAAUGCUGCAGAGGGGGAGAUUCAGAUGCUAAAGGAAUCCCAGAUUUCUGGCUCACUGCUUUGAAAACAAAUGAAGUGCUGACUGAGGAGGUGUAUUCACCUCAUCACACCAUCAGUUCUGAUCAAGGAUCUGGAUGUGGUGCAAGCUACAAACACCGCCCCGAAGGAGGCAUCGGGAUUGUUAUUGACUGGGAGGAGCAGGAGGCAGCCGGAGAGGCAGUAAGCACCUUGACAAUGACAGCCAUGACCCGGCUUAUUUGGUUAUCCUUCAUAUGUCACCUAGGAACAUGAACCUUAUGAUGACCGAUAGUUGGAUGUAUGUGAGAGGAUGAACAUUCAGACAUCCUUGAUGACUGGGAUUCUAGGAAGACGAUCACAUACUCGACCAGCCCACCCGUCACCGCGAGACAAGUUAAAAGUGAAGCAACUACAGGUUUGCAUCGAAUGUUUUUACUAUUGGUUUCUUCAAGGGUAGAAACUUAUACCCAACAUAUGUCAUUUUUAGGUUAAUUGGCUAGCCCCUCUUUUUAUAAUGGUCCAAUCAAUUUAGAGAAAGGGGAAAAGAAAAUGUAUGACACAAGGAUCCUAAGGCCUAAACAUUUGAAUUCCUGGUCCUAUUUAUGAUCCUACAAGCGCUAUCUCUAUGAGCUGAACAAUUAUAGCAGAGGACACAAUCAAAUUCAGAGGUUAGAGCCUGAUGAGCAAUGUUAUGAGAGCUUGUUUUUGAUCUGCCUAUUUUCCGCGAAAUUGGGACGUGAUGGAUGGUCCUUGUGAGGUUCUCCAAGAAUUUGAUUCCUCAUUUUUCCUGUUCUGGUAGUAUGAUGGAUUUUGAUUAGUUAAGAACCUGCAGUUUCUUUGGUAAGUUGGGAUUAAGAGUUCCUGAUAGGAAUAGGAUCCCUACCAGCGCGAGGUCUUAGGUUAUAUGGGUGGAAGAGAGGUUGGCGGGGCGUGGCACGCGGCCGGCGGCGGGACACAGUGAUCGCGUGCGCGCAAGAGAGAGAGAGAGAGAGAAUCGAGACGGCUAGGGUUAGGGUGCCGGCUCCUGUGGGAGCCGAGAACAUAUGAUUGCUUCUGCUUAACCAAAACGGAGUCCUUACAUGACUAUAUAUAAUCUCCCUAGCCUAACAAAUACGAUAAACUAGGCUAAGCCCCUAAUAACAAUAAGAUAAGUUGGGCCAGGCCUUUAAGUGGUUGCGCCCUUGGGCCCCCUCUGGUUAUAAUGAAUACCGGUCAUAACAGUUUCAUAUAUAUUUCUGCUCUGGUAGUACGAUGGCAUUUUUUUUUGCACUGUCUGAUUUAUUCACUAUGUUAUUACUUAGACCAGGCUUCUACCUUACUUGAGUUAGUAUUUUCUUGUGUAUUCCAAUAGCUACUAUUAAUUAUAUUUAUUUUUCCUUCAACGGGAUCAACAAAUUGUUAAGCGCACAUGCUACAACCAUCAAUUUCUGUGAUAUUAACCAUCUAACUCUGCAAUGUUCACACACUGAUUUCCGUCAUCUAUACGAUGAUGUUUCCAUUACAGUUGUUUGUUUCUCCAAUGACUAUGUAUACUCUUACGCACGAUAAAAAAUAUAUUCAGGCUAUGCCAGUGCAUCCAAAA